GCCCGCUUGGCUAAGUGGUAUAGCGUGUCACUAGUAUUCUAGAUGUCAUGACAAGAUCAGCGGUUCGAUUCCGCUAGUGGGCA